UAUCUCUGUAGAGUCUGCAUAUCAAUAAGCGGAGGAAAAGAAACUAACAAGGAUUCCCCUAGUAACGGCGUGUGAAGCGGGAAGAGCUCAAAUUUGAAAUCUUCAAGGUUUGACCUUGACGAAUUGUAGUUUAAAGAAGUGUUUUCGGUUAGAGGAGUAGUAAAAGUUCUUUGGAAUAGGACAUCAUAGAGGGUGAGAAUCCCGUAUUUGACUAUUCUUUCUAGCUUUGUGAUACACUUUCAAAGAGUCGGAUUGUUUGGGAAUGCAGUCCAAAAUGGGUGGUAAAUUUCAUCUAAAGCUAAAUAUUGGCGAGAGACCGAUAGCGAACAAGUACCGUGAGGGAAAGAUGAAAAGAACUUUGAAAGAGAGUUAAACAGUACGUGAAAUUGUCAAAAGGGAAGCGUUUGACACCAGUGUUGUUUUUCCGAAAAUCAAUUAAAAAUUGAUUCAUGCCAGGUUGUAUUGACCUUAUCAGCUUGCAAUUUGGUUUUGGGUCUCUUUUUGAUGCACUUUUCGGUUAACAAGUCAACAUCAAUUUCCUUUGCUGUAAAAAGGUAAGAGGAAGGUGGCUUCAAUUUCGGUUGAAGUGUUUAUAGCCUUUUAUCUCUGCAGUCGGGGAGAUUGAGGUUUGCAGCGUAGAUCCUUCGGGGUUAGAUACAUUUGUGCUAAGUUGUAGCUUUUCAUAGACAACUUGUUGACUAUGUUUAGUCAUGUAGCUUACUCGUAAGUGCUAUUUUACCUACGCUUAGGAUGUUGAAGACUCUACAGAGAUA
rnacentral:rRNA from 1 species